UUGUAAGUUUAUAAUUUUACG
rnacentral:piRNA from 1 species